UAUGUUAUAGUUUAUGAAGAACAUUAAU
rnacentral:tRNA from 1 species